rnacentral:rRNA from 1 species
UAAAACUCAAAUGAAUUGACGGGGGCCCGCACAAGCGGUGGAGCAUGUGGUUUAAUUCGAUGCAACGCGAAGAACCUUACCUGGUCUUGACAUCCACAGAAGAAUCCAGAGAUGGAUUUGUGCCUUCGGGAACUGUGAGACAGGUGCUGCAUGGCUGUCGUCAGCUCGUGUUGUGAAAUGUUGGGUUAAGUCCCGCAACGAGCGCAACCCUUAUCCUUUGUUGCCAGCGAUUAGGUCGGGAACUCAAAGGAGACUGCCAGUGAUAAACUGGAGGAAGGUGGGGAUGACGUCAAGUCAUCAUGGCCCUUACGACCAGGGCUACACACGUGCUACAAUGGCGCAUACAAAGAGAAGCGACCUCGCGAGAGCAAGCGGACCUCAUAAAGUGCGUCGUAGUCCGGAUUGGAGUCUGCAACUCGACUCCAUGAAGUCGGAAUCGCUAGUAAUCGUGGAUCAGAAUGCCACGGUGAAUACGUUCCCGGGCCUUGUACACACCGCCCGUCACACCAUGGGAGUGGGUUGCAAAAGAAGUAGGUAGCUUAACCUUCGGGAGGGCGCUUACCACUUUGUGAUUCAUGACUGGGGUGAAGUCGUAACAAGGUAACCGUAGGGGAACCUGCGGUUGGAUCACCUCCUUACCUUAAAGAA